rnacentral:rRNA from 1 species
CCUACGGGAGGCAGCAGUGAGGAAUAUUGGUCAAUGGACGAGAGUCUGAACCAGCCAAGUAGCGUGAAGGAUGACUGCCCUAUGGGUUGUAAACUUCUUUUAUAUGGGAAUAAAAUGUUCCACGUGUGGGAUUUUGUAUGUACCAUAUGAAUAAGGAUCGGCUAACUCCGUGCCAGCAGCCGCGGUAAUACGGAGGAUCCGAGCGUUUUCCGGAUUUAUUGGGUUUAAAGGGAGCGUAGGUGGAUUGUUAAGUCAGUUGUGAAAGUUUGCGGUUCAACCGUAAAAUUGCAGUUGAAACUGGCAGUCUUGAGUACAGUAGAGGUGGGCGGAAUUCGUGGUGUAGCGGUGAAAUGCUUAGAUAUCACGAAGAACUCCGAUUGCGAAGGCAGUUCACUGGACUGCAACUGACACUGAGGCUCGAAAGUGUGGGUAUCAAACAGGAUUAGAUACCCCUGUAGUC